UACGGAGGGUGCAAGCGUUAUCCGGAUUCACUGGGUUUAAAGGGUGCGUAGGUGGGUCUGUAAGUCAGUGGUGAAAUCUCCGGGCUUAACCCGGAAACUGCCAUUGAUACUAUAGGUCUUGAAUUAUCUGGAGGUAAGCGGAAUAUGUCAUGUAGCGGUGAAAUGCUUAGAUAUGACAUAGAACACCAAUUGCGAAGGCAGCUUACUGCCCGAAUAUUGACACUGAGGCGCGAAAGCGUGGGGAUCAAACAGG
rnacentral:rRNA from 1 species